rnacentral:pre_miRNA from 16 species
AACCGCCAAACCUGUAGGAGCGAGCUUGUCUCGCGAGCUCUUUGCGGUUUUGCUGAAAAGCUCGCGAGACAAGCUCGCUCCUACAGAUGCGGUAG